rnacentral:rRNA from 1 species
GACGAACGCUGGCGGCGUGCUUAACACAUGCAAGUCGAACGGGAAGGCCCUGCUUUUGUGGGGUGCUCGAGUGGCGAACGGGUGAGUAACACGUGAGUAACCUGCCCUUGACUUUGGGAUAACUUCAGGAAACUGGGGCUAAUACCGGAUAGGAGCUCCUGCUGCAUGGUGGGGGUUGGAAAGUUUCGGCGGUUGGGGAUGGACUCGCGGCUUAUCAGCUUGUUGGUGGGGUAGUGGCUUACCAAGGCUUUGACGGGUAGCCGGCCUGAGAGGGUGACCGGCCACAUUGGGACUGAGAGACGGCCCAGACUCCUACGGGAGGCAGCAGUGGGGAAUAUUGCACAAUGGGCGGAAGCCUGAUGAAGCAACGCCGCGUGCGGGAUGACGGCCUUCGGGUUGUAAACCGCUUUCGCCUGUGACGAAGCGUGAGUGACGGUAAUGGGUAAAGAAGCAUCGGCUAACUACGUG